rnacentral:rRNA from 1 species
AUUGAACGCUGGCGGCGUGGAUAAGACAUGCAAGUCGAACGGGAUUUUUUCCUGUAGCAAUACAGGAAAAAGUCUAGUGGCGAACGGGUGCGUAACACGUGAGCAACCUGCCGUGAAGUGGGGGAUAGCCCGCCGAAAGGCGAAUUAAUACCGCAUGUGGCCAAGGAAGACAUCUUCCUGACGCCAAAGCCGGGUCAACCUGGCGCUUCUCGAGGGGCCCGCGGCCUAUCAGCUUGUUGGUGAGGUAACGGCUCACCAAGGCUAUGACGGGUAGCUGGUCUGAGAGGACGACCAGCCACACUGGAACUGAGACACGGUCCAGACACCUACGGGUGGCAGCAGUCGAGAAUUUUUCACAAUGGGGGAAACCCUGAUGGAGCGACGCCGCGUGGAGGAUGAAGGUUUUCGGAUUGUAAACUCCUGUCAUUAGAGAACAAGGUACACGGUUUAACUGGCCGUGUGUUGAUAGUAUCUGAAGAGGAAGAGACGGCUAACUCUGUGCCAGCAGCCGCAGUAAAAC